rnacentral:rRNA from 1 species
CCUACGGGAGGCAGCAGUGAGGAAUAUUGGUCAAUGGACGAGAGUCUGAACCAGCCAAGUAGCGUGAAGGAUGACUGCCCUAUGGGUUGUAAACUUCUUUUAUAUGGGAAUAAAACGUUCCACGUGUGGGAUUUUGUAUGUACCAUAUGAAUAAGGAUCGGCUAACUCCGUGCCAGCAGCCGCGGUAAUACGGAGGAACCGAGCGUUAUCCGGAUUUAUUGGGUUUAAAGGGCGCGUAGGUGGAUUGUUAAGUCAGUUGUGAAAGUUUGCGGCUCAACCGUAAAAUUGCAGUUGAAACUGGCAGUCUUGAGUACAGUAGAGGUGGGCGGAAUUCGUGGUGUAGCGGUGAAAUGCUGAGAUAUCACGAAGAACUCCGAUUGCGAAGGCAGUUCACUGGACUGCAACUGACACUGAGGCUCGAAAGUGUGGGUAUCAAACAGGAUUAGAUACCCGAGUAGUC